AACCGGAGCUAAUACCGGAUAAUAUAUUGAACCGCAUGGUUCAAUAGUGAAAGACGGUUUUGCUGUCACUUAUAGAUGGAUCCGCGCCGCAUUAGCUAGUUGGUAAGGUAACGGCUUACCAAGGCAACGAUGCGUAGCCGACCUGAGAGGGUGAUCGGCCACACUGGAACUGAGGCACGGUCCAG
rnacentral:rRNA from 1 species